UAAAAGGCUAUGAAAAAGACGAGUAAAUAAUCUAAUUCUUUCCAGUGAAUUAGUGCUAGUGGGAAACUAAUAGACCCUGGAUUAUUGAAAAACACUUUUAGCAGCUCACCGAACUAAUACUUCUUAUAGUAGGUUGAGACGUCUCCGGUACGUUACCACGCCGGUGGAGCAUGAUAGUGCUUCAUGAGUCGGUCUAUAAUUAUAGACAAUGUGGGUGGUACCGCGGAAAAAAGCCUUUCGUCCCUGUU
rnacentral:ncRNA from 1 species